UACAGAGGGGGCAAGCGUUGUUCGGAAUUACUGAGCGUAAAGGGCGCGUAGGCGGCCUUCUAAGUCGAACGUGAAAUCCCCGGGCUCAACCCGGGAACUGCGUCCGAUACUGGUAGGCUUGAGACCGGAAGAGGACAGCGGAACUGCGAGUGUAGAGGUGAAAUUCGUAGAUAUUCGCAAGAACACCAGUGGCGAAGGCGGCUGUCUGGUCCGGUUCUGACGUUGAGGCGCGAAAGCGUGGGGAGCAAACAGG
rnacentral:rRNA from 1 species